rnacentral:rRNA from 1 species
UACGUAGGGGGCUAGCGUUGUCCGGAAUCAUUGGGCGUAAAGAGCGUGUAGGCGGCCCGGUAAGUCCGCUGUGAAAGUCGGGGGCUCAACCCUCGAAUGCCGGUGGAUACUGUCGGGCUAGAGUGCGGAAGAGGAGAGUGGAAUUCCUGGUGUAGCGGUGAAAUGCGCAGAUAUCAGGAAGAACACCCGUGGCGAAGGCGGCUCUCUGGAACGCAACUGACGCUGAGACGCGAAAGCGUGGGGAGCAAACAGG